rnacentral:rRNA from 1 species
UACAGAGGGGGCGAGCGUUGUUCGGAAUUACUGGGCGUAAAGGGCGCGUAGGCGGCCUUCUAAGUCGAACGUGAAAUCCCCGGGCUCAACCCGGGAACUGCGUCCGAUACUGGGAGGCUUGAAUCCGGGAGAGGGAUGUGGAAUUCCAGGUGUAGCGGUGAAAUGCGUAGAUAUCUGGAGGAACACCGGAGGCGAAGGCGGCUCACUGGGGGUUUUCUGACGCUGAGGGACGAAAGCCAGGGGAGCAAACGGG